rnacentral:miRNA from 1 species
CUACGGACUGCGCAUGUGUGGCAUUCUGUACGGAGUGCGCACGUGCGGGAUGCUGCACAUGCGCAGUCCGUAU